UUCUCAUUCAGUGCUAUAUAUAUAUUUGUGGACACUAUAGAGCAAGUAUUGUAAACUAGGACGAGGUGGUAAGUGUCCAUUAAUGAAAGGUUUUAUAGCGCUUCAGCCAUGAUGGGAAAUACCGAUCUGUGUUGUCUAUGGGGGAUAUUUAUCAAAGUGUUCUGAAAAGUAACUUUUAAAUCCCAUCAUUCUUUUAGAUCGUGUAUUUAAGUGAUCUAAAAAGUGGUGGGUUUUCUUUUAGUUAUUUCUUUAUAAUGGAAGGAAAAAGAGAAAUGAAAGACAACACUUUUGUGUAAUAAAUCGAUGCCGAAACACAAUAU